AAAUAUAACUUUUUGGCAUUUGAGGACCCAACUCCUCAUUCAAUCUGUAAUCAUGAAAAUGGGUAUAUUUUAUUCCCAGUGCUCCAGUAAGUGUUCUUUUCCAACUUCAUUGACUGGAAAGUAGCGGAGCACAGCGCCUGAGGAAUGAGGAAUCUUUUUCAUCUCAUCCAUUUCUUUCUUUGGCGAAAUGCAAGGCCGCAAAUGAAGAUGAGGGGAUUUCUGGAUCUGCGCAUAUACCCUGAACCCGGUCAUUUGGCCAAUGUUCGGAUAACCUCACACAGCCGGUUUGACAAAUCAAUAGUAACAACUUGUGAAGGUAGGCCGAUAGUUUCAUUUGCCUGUCGUUGGAAAUUGGGAUCUCAGUUUGAUUUUUCAAGUUAUGCAUUAGGCAAGGUAGACACACAUGUCCCCCUCUAUACUUUGUAUUAAAGGCAUGGCUAGUGGUAAAAAAUAGCAUCUGUUAAACUAUAUUUAUGAUAUUUCAAUAAGAUAUUAUGUGAUAUAUUAAAAUAUAGUGCUAUAUUUCUGAUAUUAGUUCUACAUUAUUAGAAAUAUGGAAUACGAUGCUAUUUUAUGAUAGUAGUUCUACGAUAUUAAGUUAAAUUAUAUUCGAAAUAUGGAAUACGAUGCUAUUUCAUUUUAGUUCUACGGUAUUAAGUUAAAUUAUAUUAGAAAUAUGGAAUACGAUGCUAUUUUAUUUUAGUUCUACGGUAUUAAGUUAAAUUAUAUUAGAAAUAUGGAAUACGAUGCUAUUUUAUUUUAGUUCUACGGUAUUAAGUUAAAUUAUAUUAGAAAUAUGGAAUACGAUGCUAUUUUAUGAUACUAGUUCUACGAUAUUAAGUUAAAUUAUAUUAGAAAUAUGGAAUACGAUGCUAUUUUAUUUUAGUUCUACGAUAUUAAGUUAAAUUAUAUUAGAAAUAUUGAAUACGAUGCUAUUUUAUUUUAGUUCUACGGUAUUAAGUUAAAUAAUAUUUCGAAAUAUGGAAUACGAUGCUAUUUUAUUUUAGUUCUACGGUAUUAAGUUAAAUUAUAUUAGAAAUAUGGAAUACGAUGCUAUUUUAGUUUAGUUCUACGGUAUUAGGUUAAAUUAUAUUAGAAAUAUGGAAUACGAUGCUAUUUUAGUUCUACGAUAUUAAGUUAAAAUAUAUUAGAAAUAUGGAAUACAAUGCUAUUUUAUAAUAUUCGUUCUACGAUAUUAUGUUCUAUGAUAUUGGAAAAAUAAAGUAUAAAGCCAUGUCUCCUAUAUUAGUUCUACUAUAUUAUGUCAUAUCAGUGUUUCCCCUAAGGGGGAUAUAAUGGUAGGGAAAACACUGUAUAUGAUAUUAAGUUAUAUAAUAUUAUAAAUACUAAGUAUGAUGCCAUGUUUGUUAAAUUAGUCCUAUAUUAUUUCAUAUCAGUGUUUCCCCUAUGUUGCCAACUAUGGGGGGGCGGACGUACCGGAGGGAGCGUGGGUGUUGGGACGCGGCGGGGGAUAUUAUGGUAGGGAAAACACUGUAUAUGAUAUUAAGUUAUAUAAUAUUAUAAAUACUAAGUAUGAUGCCAUGUUUGUUAUAUUAGUCCUAUAUUAUGUUAUAUGAGAUUAGUCCUAUAUAAUCUUCUAUGAUAUUAGAAAUAUGAAGUAUAAUACUAUGUUUGUUAUAUUAGUCCUACAUAAUGCUAUAUUAGUCCUAUAUUAUCUGGUUAUUAUCUAUGAUAUUACAAAUAUGAAGUAUGAUAAUAUGUUAUAUAUAUUGGCAUGGCAUCACUGUAAUAUUGGCAUGGCAUCAUUGAAACUAUAGAGGGGGACAUGUGUGUCUACCUUUCCUAAUGCAUAACCUGAAAAAUCAAACCGAGAUCCCAAUUUCCAACGACAGACGAAUGAAACUAUCGGCCUACCUUCACAAGUUGUCACUGUUGAUUCGUCAACCCAGCCGUGGUAGUUCAUCCAAACACCAGCCAAAUGGCCAGGUUCAGGGUAUAUGCACAGAUACAGAAAUCCCCUCAUCUUCAUCUGCAGCCUUGCAUUAACCAAAGAAGGAAAUGGAUGAGAUGAAAAAGAUUCCUCAUUCCUCAGAGGCCGUGCUGUGUUGCUGUCCAGUCGAUGAAGUUGGAAAAAAACACUUCCUGGAGCACAGGGAAUAAAAUAUACAAUGGCAAUGAUAUUUACCAAUGAAUGAGGAGGCGGUCUAUGCCGGGG
ensembl:lncRNA